rnacentral:pre_miRNA from 1 species
UGCAUACUCCCUCCGUCCCAAAAUAAGUGACUCAACUUUGUACAAAAGUUAGUACAAAGUUGAGUCACUUAUUUUGGGACGGAGGGAGUAUCUU